AGGAAUAUAGAUCAGUGGUAGAGCACUUUCCUAGCAUGGAUGAGGAUUUGAGUUCAACUCUCAACACUGCAA
rnacentral:tRNA from 1 species